AUGCAUAUUUGUUAUUUCUAUUUGAAAUCAGCUUAUUUAUUUACUUUAUAAUCUCUGUCUCUCUCUAGAAUAUCAGAGUCAUAAUGUCAGGACCCAUUCUACUUCUUCAAGGUUUUAUCUCCAGCACCUAGAACAAUACUUCUAUAAUGGGGUUGAAAAUGCAAAAUGAAACACAUUUCAACUUAACAGUUUAAAUGGUCCUUGAUCCAGAGAGACAAUGAGGAGGAUAAAAAUUUACAGAGUACCAACAAUGGAAAACAUAAAACAAGACUGCUAAUGUGGGCAUAAGAGCUGCUUAUGUGAAUCUGAUAAAACUGUGAGUCAAACGACCUAAGACAAAUGUGAAUAUGGAAUAAAAAGAAAUAUAAACUAAACAUUCAUUGGGAGCAUUUGUCAUAUCAUUUCUAUCUGUGAACAAUAUAGUGGCAAUGAAUUAAAAGCUGCCACUUUCAGCAUAUUCAUCUACUAAAGCACUAGACUUAACAGUAUUUAUGAAUAAACAGCAGUUUACCCUAAUGGCUUCAAAAAUCAAUCAAACAAUUUGAUAUACUAUGAGCUACUUGAAAAUCUGAUUGUGUAGCUGAUUUCUUUGCUCUCUGUUUACAUAAAUUA
rnacentral:lncRNA from 1 species